rnacentral:lncRNA from 10 species
UGGAGUUCAGUGGUGCCAUCAUGACUCACUGCAGCCUCAAACUCCUGGCAUCAAGCAAUCCUCCUGCCUCAGCCUCCCAAAAUGCUGAGAUUACAGGUGUGAGCCACCAUACCCAGCCUAGUAUCUUUACCAUGAGGAAAAUAAAAGGUUCUGACAAUUGGUUUAAGUGGAACAGUUUUGUUGGAUGUAUGUUGGCUGGGCCCCUUUUAUUCAGUGGAAACAAACUGUGUAGACGGUAUUCUCAGGAGAUGAUUGAGAUGCUGUCUGAGAAUAAUUUUUAAAGGAAAACCAGUGUUGUAGAAUAUGUUAAGAUUUGGUGCUAUGUGGGCUGUAGGUACCUUCCUUAAGACCUAUUUGUGAUACCACUGAGACAAGACAGCUGAGUGGGAUAGAUCAGUAACCCAGCCUAGAACGGGAUGUUGUAA